rnacentral:rRNA from 1 species
AGAAUCAACGCUGGCGGCGUGCCUAACACAUGCAAGUCGCACGAGAAAGGGUAGCAAUACCUGAGUAAAGUGGCGCACGGGUGAGUAACACGUGAAUGAUCUACCUCCGAGUGGGGAAUAACUGAGAGAAAUCUUAGCUAAUACCGCAUAACACUUACGAGUCAAAGCAGCAAUGCGCUUGGAGAGGAGUUCGCGGCCGAUUAGUUAGUUGGCGGGGUAAUGGCCCACCAAGACGAUGAUCUGUA